AGGGUGAAGUGGGGUAAGUACCUCAUGGAGGCCCGAACCGUGUAUAUUGCAAAAAUAGCUCGGAUGAGCUGUGGAUAGGGGUGAAAUAGCCAAACGAACCCAGAGAUAGCUGGUUCUCGCCGAAAUAACUUAGGGUUAGCGUCAUACCGUUACUGGCGGAGGUAAAGCACUGAAUGGGGUAGGGGCCUACACGGCUACCGAACCCAAUCAAACUCUGAAUGCCGCUAGUAUGAGGAUGGCAGUCGGACUACGGGAGAUGAGUUUCGUGGUCGAGAGGGAAAGAACCCAGACCGUCAGCUAAGGUCCCAGAGUGAUAGCUAAGUGGGAAAGGAUGUGGGGUUACCGAGACAGCCAGGAGGUUGGCUUAGAAGCAGCCACCCUUGAAAGAGUGCGUAAUAGCUCACUGGUCUAGUGAUCCUGCGCCGAAAAUAUAACGGGGGC
rnacentral:rRNA from 1 species